rnacentral:rRNA from 1 species
CCUUCUGGUUCGUGCACUCGGCCGGCUGCCGUGCCAGCAUCGGUUGUCGCGGCGGGAGAAAGGCUUUGGGAAUGUGGCUCCUCCGGGAGUGUUAUAGCCCAUUGUGUAAUACCCUGUGGUGGACUGAGGUUCGCGCAUCUGCAAGGAUGCUGGCGUAAUGGUCAUCAGCGA